GUGCUUGCUUCGGCAGCACAUAUACUAAAAUUGGAACGAUACUGAGAUUAGCAUGGCCCCUGCGCAAGGAUGACACUUUCCAUAUUUAAAAAAAAAAAAUCAUA